CGCUUCGGUGGUGGAUUAGUGGCGAACGGGUGAGUAACACGUGGGUAAUCUGCCCUGCACUCUGGGAUAAGCCUUGGAAACGGGGUCUAAUACCGGAUACGACACGUCACCGCAUGGUGUGCGUGUGGAAAGUUCCGGCGGUGCAGGAUGAGCCCGCGGCCUAUCAGCUUGUUGGUGGGGUAGUGGCCUACCAAGGCGACGACGGGUAGCCGGCCUGAGAGGGUGACCGGCCACACUGGGACUGAGACACGGCCCAGACUCCUACGGGAGGCAGCAGUGGGGAAUCUUGCGCAAUGGGCGAAAGCCUGACGCAGCAACGCCGCGUGGGGGAUGACGGCCUUCGGGUUGUAAACCUCUUUCGACAGGGACGAAGCUUUCGGGUGACGGUACCUGUAGAAGAAGCACCGGCUAACUACGUGCCAGCAGCCGCGGUAAUACGUAGGGUGCGAGCGUUGUCCGGAUUUAUUGGGCGUAAAGAGCUCGUAGGCGGUUUGUCGCGUCGGCCGUGAAAACCUGCAGCUUAACUGUGGGCGUGCGGUCGAUACGGGCAGACUUGAGUUCGGCAGGGGAGACUGGAAUUCCUGGUGUAGCGGUGAAAUGCGCAGAUAUCAGGAGGAACACCGGUGGCGAAGGCGGGUCUCUGGGCCGAUACUGACGCUGAGGAGCGAAAGCAUGGGGAGCGAACAGGAUUAGAUACCCUGGUAGUCCAUGCCGUAAACGUUGGGCGCUAGGUGUGGGGAUGGGUUCCACCGUUUCCGUGCCGUAGCUAACGCAUUAAGCGCCCCGCCUGGGGAGUACGGCCGCAAGGCUAAACUCAAAGGAAUUGACGGGGGCCCGCACAAGCGGCGGAGCAUGUGG
rnacentral:rRNA from 1 species